GGGAGUGCUCUCCAAAGAGAAGAAAAGAGGAUAGCUCUCCAAAAUGUACACACACACUUCACUUUGGACUGAAUUUUGGGAGGCAAGAGAAGAACUCAUUGAUCCCUCAUUCUCAAACCAUCACGCACCAGAAAGUAGCUUAUUGGAUAUCAGAGGAGAAGAAAUGGCUUCCCAUGGCAUGAACCAAGCUUGUAGUCAUUGCUCUAGUGACAAUGACAGUGUUUAAACGCACACAGAUGACUGUUGAUAUGGUUCACUCAAAUUACUACAUGGGCUCACUGUUUUAUUCUGCCAUUAGACUUAUGACCAACGGAUUAGCAGAGCUGCCAUUGACUGGUUCCAGACUUCCAAUCCUUUACAAGCAAAGAGAUCUAUACUUCUAUCCAGCAUGGAGUUAUACUGUUCCAGCUGCAAUUCUAAAGAUUCCAUUUUCAUUCCUAGAUGCUGUUCUUUGGACAGCUCUCACCUAUUAUGCUAUUAGUUACAGUCCUGAACCAGAAAGGUGACGUCUCCAGUUUCGCAAGCCCAUUUUAUUGCUUCUGUUGUACGAGAUCCAUCUGCUGCAGUAUCUUUCAAUGUCUCUACUUUGCUAGUAAUGUAUCUAUUUGGAGGUUUCAUAAUUUCGAACCCUCUUUACCUGCCUGGUUGGAGUGGGGAUUUUGGAUUUCUCCUCUAACAUAUACACAAAUAGGUGCUUCACUAAAUGAAUUCCAUGCUCCAAGGUGGGAAAAGGUUUCAUCUUCAAAUGCUACUAUGGGGCAACAAUUUCUAAGAAGCCAUGGUCUAAAUUUUAGUGACUACUUUUAAUGGAUACCAGCAGGGGUACUACUCGGGUUUUGGAUAGUUUUCAACAUCGGGUUUACAUUUGCUCUUAGCUCCAGGGAGGUCUCAGACUACCAUUUCUCACCAAAGGGUAUCUAAGCUGAAAGGAGAAGAUUCAACGAAUAUGACUCAUGGACAAGAAUUGCCUCAUGUUGGUACUUCCAAUGAUGUUUCAGAAAGAAAAAAGAAGGGGAUCGUUUUACCGUUUGAGCCCAUAGCAAUAUCCUUUGAGAAUGUGCAAGACUAUGUUGACACUCCAAAGGUAGCCUCAUUAUCCAUUGAAUCCGUAUUUUCCUAGGCUGCUGGACAAUUUUAAGUUGGUCGAAUUUCUUCCAUACAUCUCCCAGAAACUGAGAGAGCAAGGUUUUGCACAAAAAAGACUACAGCUUCUUCAAGAUAUUUCUGGCUUUCUGGAAGAAAAACGAGUGGUAUAAUUGAAGGAGAGACUAGAAUUGGAGGAUAUCCUAAGGUCCAAGAAACCUAUGCCCGGAUAUCUGCUUACUGUGAGUAAACUGACAUACAUUCUCCACAGAUUACAAUAGAAGAAUCAGUGACAUACUCAGCUUGGUUACGGUUGCCAUCAGAGAUUGACAAAAAUACAAAAUCUAAUUCCUUCAAAUGAUUGAGCUUGAUGAAAUGAGCAGCGAAAAAGGCUAACCAUAGCCGUGGAACUUAAUUGUUUCCAAUCCAUCCAUAAUAUUAAUGGAUGAGCCCACCUCAGGUCUGGAUGCCAGAGCAGCUGCAAUCGUCAUGCGAGUAGUGAAGAAUGUUGUUAAUACAAUGCGAACAGUCGUAUACACCGAGCAUCGACAUAUUUGAGACAUUCAAUGAGUUAAUUUUGAUGAAAAGAGGAGGAAGAAUAAUAUAUGCUGGAGAGUUGGGAAAGCAUUCAAGCAAACUAAUACAGUAUUUUGAGGAAAUUCCUGGGGUGCCCAAAUUCAAUGCAAACCGGAACCCUGCAACAUGGAUGUUAGAGGUUACUGGUCCAUCAGCAGAAGCUCAACUUGGUUCAGAUUUUGCCUAUCUCUACAACAAGUCUCAUUUAUGUUGCAAAUUCCAAAAUGGAGGGUUUGGAGUUACUGGAUUUGUCCAAUGGUAUGGUCCUUAAAAGCUCUGGUCACUUCACAAUAUGGAGAUAUAAAAAAGGAAAUAUCAGUAUUUGGAGAACCCAAAUCAAUCAGUGCCUUCUUAAAAAGCUACUAUGGGUAUCACCAUGAGAAGUUAGGUGUUGCAGCAUUUGUUCUUUUUUCUCUUCCACUAGUCUUUGCAUUAGCUUUUGCAUUUUUUAUUGCAAAACUCAACUUCCAGAGGAGGUAAACAUGUUCAUCACUCCUUUGUAAGCCAUUUGUCUGAACUCUUAAUUUUGACAAAGACUGUUUCAGACCUUCAGUUUCAAAAUAGAAAAUAAAAAAUUGGAUGAUU